rnacentral:miRNA from 1 species
UGUGUGUCUGUUUUUCCCAG